GAGGGUGCAGCUCAGUGGUGGAGUGCAUGCCUAGCAUGCACGAGGUCCUGGGUUCAAUCCCCAGUACCUCCA
rnacentral:tRNA from 1 species